rnacentral:misc_RNA from 1 species
UUUGUAGUUUUGUCCUGGGAAAACACUGUAGCUGUGGAUGUCCAACUCACUUGUCAGGUUUUGGCAAAUGAAGUUAUAAUUGUAGAAGAGAAGAAAAAGGAUAAAUUUCAUGUUACAAUUAGCAAUAAUACUAUAUUUUCACUUUGAGAUCCGUAGAUGGACUUUCUCACAUGUUACGUUGUAUGGGUUAAUUUGGGACCAUUUAUCAUUUAUGACAUACUGCUUUAGAUGAAUAACUUUGUUGUGCUAAGAUUUAGUUCGUAGGGCUAGUCUGAACACAGGACCGAGC